rnacentral:rRNA from 1 species
GACGAACGCUGGCAGCGUGCCUAACACAUGCAAGUCGAACGGGGUGAUUCCUUCGGGGAUCGCUUAGUGGCGAACGGGUGAGUAACGCGUGAGAAACCUGCCUUUCAGUGGGGGACAACAGUUGGAAACGACUGCUAAUACCGCAUAAUGUUUCGAGAGGGCAUCCUUUUGAAACCAAAGCUUUAUGUGCUGAAAGAUGGUCUCGCGUCUGAUUAGCUAGUUGGUGAGGUAACGGCUCACCAAGGCGACGAUCAGUAGCCGGUCUGAGAGGAUGAACGGCCACAUUGGGACUGAGAUACGGCCCAGACUCCUACGGGAGGCAGCAGUGGGGAAUAUUGGGCAAUGGGGGAAACCCUGACCCAGCAACGCCGCGUGAAGGAAGAAGGCCUUCGGGUUGUAAACUUCUUUUACCAGGGACGAAGAACGUGACGGUACCUGGAGAAAAAGCAACGGCUAACUACGUGCCAGCCGCCGCGGUAA